rnacentral:lncRNA from 1 species
AACACGAGCCGAAGGCGAGUUGUUGUUUUAUAAAAUAACAACUUUCCGUGUUAAAAUUUCCCUUAAAAAAACUUUCCGUGUUUGGAUGGCCUGAUCCAAACACAGGUUUCGACUAAUCAGAGCACGCGUUAUAUACAUGUUAUUUUAUAAAUGAAUUUCCUUACUAUACCUUUGUGAUUAUUAAUACAGUUUAUUGCACACAUCUUCUGUAAUUAUACAUUAUUAUUGGCAUUUUAUUCUUCACUACAAAACAGACUAAUUAUCCCAAAGGCACAAGCCUUAUAGCUACUAAUAUAAUUAUUGUUUUAAUACAUCAAGUUCCUUAGAUCACAUAACUCAUACGUACGAAAUGUAUUUUGACAAAAUCACCUUGUUUAAACAAGGUAUCCGAAAUUAUAUUGGCUACUUUUUCCAAAUAUGUUUGAUUGGUCAAAUUUUGUUGGAUUCAUGCCAUAUAAUGAAGUUAAAUCAAUUGUUUCAAUUAUUGUUUCAAAGAUCUUGGACCAACUACGCGUAGGAUCAAAAGUCAGUGGUAUAUGAGCAGAUAUGUUCAAAGACGUAUUUGUUACUAAAAUGUUUUCAAAAGUUGUCAUUUUAUAUGACAUUUUCUUAAUUUUCUUGUCGCAUUACUGCAAGUAAACCCAUAUUUUCCGGAAUAUAGUAAAAUCUAUUUCAAGUUUGAAAUAUUUGAGAAUCGGUGGUUUGUUUGAUUGUUAAAAUCUUACACCAGCUUUUGAUGUUCUAAACACGAACAGGCAAGCAAUAGAAUAGAAAUAUUUUGAAACUGUGUUGCUAAGAAACAUUUUCACAAGCACAAACUAAUUCAUUCUGUGUUCGCUGAAACAAUAUUACAUUCUACCAAAUUCAUCCUUUAAAAUAAUUUUUCCUUGUUUUUUUUCUCGAUUUCUUCGAGAUUGGUUGUGUCACGAAUGGGGUGCUGAUGAAUACAUCUCUUUUACUGAAAUUGUAGUUAAGGUCAAGUUCUUUGUAUUCCCGUAAUUACAUUGAAACUCCACAUUCAUUGUUAGUUCUCGAUCGUUUUGCGGCAUCUUUUUUAACUUUUGCGAGAUUCACGAGGAAUGCUUUACUCAAGGUGAUGCUAGGUGUUUCAGUUCUCGGCCGCAUACUUUGGACUCUUGAGAAGUUCUUGAGGAAUGCUUUGGCCCCGCGUAUAGAAACCAGGUCAGGCUUUCACUCUGCAUGGCUACGCGAGAAAUUAUAUAUUAGAAUAACGUACAUCGUCAUGGCCUUUUAUUGUCGUAUAGUUAAUAACAGGAAGAUUGAGGUCUCUGUAAUUCUGCAAAUGCCACUGCUGCACAGUUUUUACCGUUCUCGUUUAGGAUUAUUUUUCUCACGCAUGAGAAAUUGUUAAUACGUGGUCAUAAAGAACGCUUUGACUUUCACUAUUAACUUUUUAAUUUUCACAAUCAUGCAAUCCAUACGUACAAUUUUCCAGGACCCAGCGUAAUGAUUUGAGUAAUAGUACUACUGUCUUGUACUCGUCUUCGAAUCUUCAGUCUAUACUUUUUCGUUAACAUCUAACUCAUGAUUAGUCAACGAUCGUCGAGACAUAUCGUUAGAUAGGAUGAUGUUAUUUCGCCAUAGCUAUAUAUUAGCUACGUCUUGCUCUUAAAAACAAAAUCUGCAUUUUCGGUAUCGUCUUCUUUUCCCACAUGUAUUCUUUUAGAUUUUGGAGCACGGGCGUCCUGCACGUGACAAUGAAGUUAACUUUUAAAUGUUGCUGCCAACGGUACUUUCAUACAGUUUUCAUGCGCACUUGACCAUAAAAGACGUAGUUGUAAGACCAUUAGGCCUAUACAUUUAGUCAUCAAUUGCAUGUGAUUCUUGUAUUUCAAUUAUUUUAACAGCCAAAUCUAUUAUGUGGUAGAAUGCAAUUUUGUUAUAGCCAACGAAGCAAAGUAAUUAGUUCCAGUACGGAAAGGAUAAUAUAGAAAGGUCUCAUUUUAUAGGCACCAUGUCUAUGAGGUGAGUGUUAAUCUGUUGCUUGGUUGUUUCUGGAAUGAUAGAACACCAGUCAAAUGUGAAAAUUUUCUCACAUUAUUUUCUCACCGGUGAAGUUUUAGUUGUACAAGAAUUGAUAAGAAAAGUGCACAUAGACCACGAACUGUCUUUACAUUCUUCACUGGGACUAAUUUGACAGUAUCGACGUCUUUCAACUAUAUAUUUUCAGACCACUGAUUUUCCAUUCACUUAUGUGAAGACAAGUCUUCGAGCCAAGAUAACCAACAUUUUUGCCAAAACAAUACGGUAUGAUUUAACUAACCAACAAUUAUCAGUAAAAAGUUUCCAAUAUUUAAAAGAAACUUCCCAUAAUUUCAUGUGGAAAUUAUGACUAUUGUUUUGUACAACGAAAAUACUGCACACUGUAGACUUGCAAUACGAUUAACAUUUCUAUAGCGCAAAUUUGCAUGACAAUUAUUGUGGAUAUGUAAAUUUGCGCUAUAUAGAAAUGUUCGUUAAUUUAAGCCCAUUUUCCACUAUAGGGCCUAGGCGAAUUUGUUCGCGCGAAGUGAAGUGAAAAACAAAUCUUAGCAAUGUGAUUGGUCAGCGAAAAAAUUCGCCAUGAAAAAGUUGGAUCAGUUCCUACUUUUUUACUGUUCGCGCGGACAAAUCCCUUAGUGGAAAAUGGGCUUAUAUAUAAAGCCCGUUCUCCACUAGGCGAAUUUUUUCGCGCGAUGCGAAGCGAAAAACAAAUCUUGGCAAUGUGAUUGGUCAGCGAAAAAAUUCGCCGCGAAAAAGUUGGAUCAGUUCCUACUUUUUUACUGUUCGCGCGAACAAAUUCGCCUAGUGGAGAGUCUUGGCUCCUCCGUAGGUAUAUUUUGUGGCCACAGUGACCCAUGAACUAGAUGUCGCGGAGGAAGGAGGCUAUGGGCUGAUCUUGGCUCAAGAGUUUAAAUUAAGUUACAUGGCAUAAUUAAUUGUCAUGUCAAUAAAGUAAACUGUACAUUGCAAUACUACUACUUCUAUAUAUAUGAAUUGAGCCUUAAUUCUAAAUCGCUGAAUACUUUAUUUUAUAGCUAUCUGUUUUAUUCAAAAUUUAACCGAAUAGGUUGUUUAUUGUUAUGUGAAACUGGUUAUUUUAAUAUAAAGUAUUCUCUCUGAUCCGGUUAGUUGCCAGCUUAAGCAAGCGACGUUUUUGUCAACGCGGACGUCAGAUUGCCGGGGGGACUGGAUUAAUAAUUGUGUUUGUGUCAGUUUGUGGUAAUGUUCAACACAUAUGACAAAACAUAAGUUUUUUGCUUCCUUAAACCAGUGCUGUGAUGCACAGUGCCGCCAAAUUUAGUUAAACCAAUCUUUGGGUGACGUCGGUGUUGAAAAAACGUCGCUUGUUUAAGCUCAUCAUGGGCGUACCAGACGGCAGCCCCCCUCCCCC